rnacentral:rRNA from 1 species
UGCAGUCGAGCGGUAGCACAAGAGAGCUUGCUCUCUGGGUGACGAGCGGCGGACGGGUGAGUAAUGUCUGGGAAACUGCCUGAUGGAGGGGGAUAACUACUGGAAACGGUAGCUAAUACCGCAUAACGUCGCAAGACCAAAGAGGGGGACCUUCGGGCCUCUUGCCAUCAGAUGUGCCCAGAUGGGAUUAGCUAGUAGGUGGGGUAAUGGCUCACCUAGGCGACGAUCCCUAGCUGGUCUGAGAGGAUGACCAGCCACACUGGAACUGAGACACGGUCCAGACUCCUACGGGAGGCAGCAGUGGGGAAUAUUGCACAAUGGGCGCAAGCCUGAUGCAGCCAUGCCGCGUGUGUGAAGAAGGCCUUCGGGUUGUAAAGCACUUUCAGCGAGGAGGAAGGUGGUGAACUUAAUACGUUCAUCAAUUGACGUUACUCGCAGAAGAAGCACCGGCUAACUCCGUGCCAGCAGCCGCGGUAAUACGGAGGGUGCAAGCGUUAAUCGGAAAUUACUGGGCGUAAAGCGCACGCAGGCGGUUUGUUAAGUCAGAUGUGAAAUCCCCGGGCUCAACCUGGGAACUGCAUUUGAAACUGGCAAGCUAGAGUCUCGUAGAGGGGGGUAGAAUUCCAGGUGUAGCGGUGAAAUGCGUAGAGAUCUGGAGGAAUACCGGUGGCGAAGGCGGCCCCCUGGACGAAGACUGACGCUCAGGUGCGAAAGCGUGGGGGAGCAAACAGGAUUAGAUACCCUGGUAGUCCACGCUGUAAACGAUGUCGAUUUGGAGGUUGUGCCCUUGAGGCGUGGCUUCCGGAGCUAACGCGUUAAAUCGACCGCCUGGGGAGUACGGCCGCAAGGUUAAAACUCAAAUGAAUUGACGGGGGCCCGCACAAGCGGUGGAGCAUGUGGUUUAAUUCGAUGCAACGCGAAGAACCUUACCUACUCUUGACAUCCAGAGAACUUUCCAGAGAUGGAUUGGUGCCUUCGGGAACUCUGAGACAGGUGCUGCAUGGCUGUCGUCAGCUCGUGUUGUGAAAUGUUGGGUUAAGUCCCGCAACGAGCGCAACCCUUAUCCUUUGUUGCCAGCGGUUCGGCCGGGAACUCAAAGGAGACUGCCAGUGAUAAACUGGAGGAAGGUGGGGAUGACGUCAAGUCAUCAUGGCCCUUACGAGUAGGGCUACACACGUGCUACAAUGGCGUAUACAAAGAGAAGCGACCUCGCGAGAGCAAGCGGACCUCAUAAAGUACGUCGUAGUCCGGAUUGGAGUCUGCAACUCGACUCCAUGAAGUCGGAAUCGCUAGUAAUCGUAGAUCAGAAUGCUACGGUGAAUACGUUCCCGGGCCUUGUACACACCGCCCGUCACACCAUGGGAGUGGGUUGCAAAAGAAGUAGGUAGCUUAACCUUC